rnacentral:lncRNA from 1 species
ACCUUCUUUAGUACGAUUUUCUAAACGUUUGUUUCUUCUAACUGAACCUUCUCUCCACGCUCCUUGACCGCCAUUAGAACCCAGAGUCCAGCCAUAUGAACCAGACCAUUCAAAUGAACAGUCAUCAGAUAUUUUCACCAAGAACAUAUUUGUGUUCCCGUGUUCCAUCAUGAACUGCGACUUUCCCGUCUUCCUCAAGAGUGACUCCUGGGCUGUGCAAGUUGAAUUUCUCGUCAGGCACAAUCUCAGUUAAAAAUAUUUCAUCACUCAAGCCAAGAUACUCGACCAAACUGUAGAAAUCUUCGAGAUUGUCUUCAUGGACUUUUAACUUUGGCAGUAUUUGAGGAUUCUCUGGAGUCGCAAUUUUCAUCGCUUUUAAAUAAUCCAAAAUAUAAGCAAAAUAUUGUAGAUUAAAAUCAAAGAAUACAGCGUCAUCUUGAUCACGCUCGACACUAUCUUCCCAGCGACCGCUAAACAUUGUAGCGAACAAGGAACCUUCAACCUGACAGAAAGUUGAUUUUCUGGUUUUAAAUUUUUGUCCAUCAACAUCUAAAAUAAAAAUAUCGUCUUUGACUAGAUCGGCUGACAGUCGUUUAACUUCCGCGUUUCUUGACUUUCUAUUCGCUUUAAUAAUUUCGCCAAAUUUAUUAUAUGUAUGUUCCUGCUCAUUUUGACUCGUUCUCAACGCAAUAGAAAUGACUUUCAGAACAAAAUCGUUUGCUUGGAAAUAAACUUGUAAUUAUAGAAAUGGUUUGUUUGGAAACAAAUGUUUUAAUUUAAAAUGCACAAAAUUGUUACAUUUAGGGACUACCAACUAAAAUUGCACUGUUGUUACAAAACUAUUUCAUGCUAAUAUUUGUUAUAUAACGCUAUAUUCUGCGUCUUCGACAGUAAUAUUUAACUGGAUGAGCAAUUUCGGGCCAUCUAAAUCAUCACGAUUAAUCACUUUUUCACCUAAAGUUUUGUUAAAGGAUCUCACUGACGCGCCAACCAUAGAAUGGUCAGUUAUUUUUUUAAUUUGUUUAUUAAAUUGGUUUAAAACACAUAUUACUACUUUUGAGACGAUCGACUAACAUUUUAUAAAACUAAAACUAAAUAUUUAUGCAUAAUAUUUCAUUAAGACAAGCACAAGUUAAGUAUUUGGUCCAAUUUCAUAUUGCAGUCAGUGACCAUUAAAUUGAAAUUCCCCUUGUUCUAAGUUUUGACGAACGAAAAUUGUAAGGUUAUUUUGCCUAAUUCUAUACUUUCUUUGUAUUUAGUUCGCCAAUUUCAUCGCUUGUAUUUGGUACGAAUGCUUUGUUUACAAAACCAGCACAGUCGUUCGCGCCAAUGUUGAUUGUUGCCAUCUUAUCAAGCUACGGUUAUGACGACAAAAGCCACACGAUGAAACCAACUACUAGUCCAGGUUCAUUAUCGUCGUCUGCAGAUCUUAAAAGCGUGAUGUUCAACGUGAUGUGUUUCCUGCCAGCAAUCAUCGCCAUUUUACAAAUACUGGUGUGGAAUAGUUACACUCUCCGAGGCAGAAGAGACAAAACACCUGAGGACGAAAGGUUUGAUCUCCAAUAAGAGCAAGUAAGCUUCUAUUAAGGUAGCUCAAUAGGACAAACUAUAGGAAGGUAUAUAUUAUGGGAAGGUAUAUUUUUUCCUCUUAAAUGUUUGACAGUGUAGAAUUGUCCUUCAAUCUAGUUCAUUGCACAGAGCCCUGGGGCCGGUUGUUUAAAAGCCGGCUGCUCUUGGUUAAAGCAAAUCUUCGCAUCAUUUUUUUAAUCGCUUGUUUACAAAGUUGACGUAAAAAUCUUAAAGUAAAAAUCUUUUUCUGUAAAUAUUUUCUCGAUUUUCUCUUGAUAAUUGCAUAGAAUUUCUCGUGUUGUCUAAAGAGGCUUUUAAUUGGCAUGCAAUCUGUAAUGGUCUAUUAAACAUGCGCACUUUUAGACCCCACGUUAAAAACAUGUUGUUGACGACUAUUAACAAUUAAUUUUUCUGGUCGCUAAGAAACCAGUUGGCAAAACCCUUAGCUAAAAAUAAAAGAUGUUGAUUGCACAAUUCAGGCACUGACUUCCUUUAACUAUCAUCAUAAUUUAACAGUAAAUUUUUUAUGCAUUUUUCUCUAAACCGAGUAAGUUUCUACAGAAGUCGAACUUCUGUGGAAAUAAGGGUUUGAUGUUAAACUGAUAUUAUCAUACAGAAAUUAUACAAAAACAGUAUUUUUAAAUUUAACCCUAGUUUAGCGUGGAAGAAGGCUAUUUCGUCAAUAACUUUACAAAAUAACGAGAAAUCAAUCUUGUAUAUACAUGGUUUGGAGACUAAAUAAAAGUACAGUACA